AGUUAGUGGCGGACGGGUGAGUAACGCGUGGAAAACCUGCCGUAUACUGGGGGAUAACACUUAGAAAUAGGUGCUAAUACCGCAUAAGCGCACAGUCCCGCAUGGGACAGAGUGAAAAACAUUAGUGGUGUAAGAUGGACCCGCGUCUGAUUAGCUUGUUGGCGGGGUAACGGCCCACCAAGGCGACGAUCAGUAGCCGGCCUGAGAGGGUGGACGGCCACAUUGGGACUGAGACACGGCCCAAACUCCUACGGAAGGCAGCAG
rnacentral:rRNA from 1 species